CAGCCGCCGCGGUAAUGCGUAGGUGGCAAGCGUUGUCCGGAAUUAUUGGGCGUAAAGGGCUCGCAGGCGGUUUCUUAAGUCUGAUGUGAAAGCCCCCGGCUCAACCGGGGAGGGUCAUUGGAAACUGGGAAACUUGAGUGCAGAAGAGGAGAGUGGAAUUCCACGUGUAGCGGUGAAAUGCGUAGAGAUGUGGAGGAACACCAGUGGCGAAGGCGACUCUCUGGUCUGUAACUGACGCUGAGGAGCGAAAGCGUGGGGAGCGAACAGGAUUAGAUACCCGAGUAGUCCCUGUCUCUUAUAC
rnacentral:rRNA from 1 species